rnacentral:rRNA from 1 species
CCUAAGGGAGGCAGCAGUGGGGAAUAUUGGACAAUGGGCGAAAGCCUGAUCCAGCCAUGCCGCGUGUGUGAAGAAGGCCUUCGGGUUGUAAAGCACUUUCAGUGGGGAAGAAAGCCUUGGGGCUAAUACCCUCGAGGAAGGACAUCACCCACAGAAGAAGCACCGGCUAACUCCGUGCCAGCAGCCGCGGUAAUACGGAGGGUGCGAGCGUUAAUCGGAAUUACUGGGCGUAAAGCGCGCGUAGGCGGUCUGAUAAGCCGGUUGUGAAAGCCCCGGGCUCAACCUGGGAACGGCAUCCGGAACUGUCAGGCUAGAGUGCAGGAGAGGAAGGGAGAAUUCCCGGUGUAGCGGUGAAAUGCGUAGAGAUCGGGAGGAAUACCAGUGGCGAAGGCGGCCUUCUGGACUGACACUGACGCUGAGGUGCGAAAGCGUGGGUAGCAAACAGGAUUAGAUACCCUGGUAGUC